UUCUUUGAUUGAGACAACGAAGA
rnacentral:snRNA from 1 species